rnacentral:pre_miRNA from 1 species
UUAACUCGAUUUUGUAUGGAGUUGGAACGUUUGCCUACGUUUGCCGCUAGGGGCGUUGAUCCAAUUGCAUACAAAUUAGACUA